CACCGCCCGUCACACCAUGGGAGUGGAUUGCACCAGAAGUAGUUAGUCUAACCUUCGGGGGGACGAUUACCACGGUGUGGUUCAUGACUGGGGUGAAGUCGUAACAAGGUAGCCCUAGGGGAACCUGGGGCUGGAUCACCUCCUUAAACGAA
rnacentral:rRNA from 1 species